CGGCGUUCUCCGAGUUCUCGCUCGCUGAGCUGCGGGCGGCGACGGAGGGGUUUAGCUCCGAGAACAUCGUGUCAGAGAGCGGGGAGAAGGCGCCGAAUCUCGUCUACAAGGGGCGGCUGCAGAAUCGGCGGUGGAUCGCCGUCAAGAAGUUCACUAAGCUGGCCUGGCCUGAUACGAAGCAAUUCGCUGAUGAGGCGAUGGGGGUCGGGAAGCUGCGGCACCGGCGGCUGGCGAAUUUGAUCGGGUACUGCUGCGACGGGGAUGAGCGGCUG
rnacentral:misc_RNA from 1 species